GAUGAAGAACGCAGCGAAAUGCGAUAAGUAAUGUGAAUUGCAGAAUUCAGUGAAUCAUCGAAUCUUUGAACGCACAUUGCGCCCCCUGGUAUUCCGGGGGGCACGCCUGUUCGAGCGUCAUUUCAACCCUCAAGCCCCCGGCUUGACGUUGGGCGCGGCCCCUCCCUCGGGGGGGGCCCGCCUAAAACCCCUCGGCGUCGCCGUCCGUCCCAGAGCGCAGCGAGUUUUCUGCCCGCGCUACUGGACCGGGCCGCUGGCCGCCGGUGAAUCCAUUUUCUCAAGGUUGACCUCGGAUCAGGUGGGGAUACCCGCUGAACUUAAGCAUAUCAAUAAGCGGAGGA
rnacentral:misc_RNA from 1 species